UGGGGGAUAUUGCACAAUGGGCGCAAGCCUGAUGCAGCGACGCCGCGUGGGGGAUGAAGGCCUUCGGGUUGUAAACUUCUUUUGCUCUGAACAAGGCGCACUUUGGGGUGUGUUGAGUGUAGGGGUUGAUUAGCGCCGGCUAACUACGUGCCAGCAGCCGCGGUAAUACGUAGGGCGCGAGCGUUGUCCGGAAUUAUUGGGCGUAAAGGGCUUGUAGGUGGCUGGUUGCGUCUGUCGUGAAAGCUCAUGGCUUAACUGUGGGUUUGCGGUGGGUACGGGCUGGCUUGAGUGCAGUAGGGGAGGCUGGAAUUCCUGAUGUAGCGGUGGAAUGCGCAGAUAUCAGGAGGAAUACCGGUGGCGAAGGCGGGUCUCUGGGCUGUUACUGACACUGAGGAGCGAAAGCAUGGGGAGCGAACAGG
rnacentral:rRNA from 1 species